UACGAGGGGGGCAAGCGUUGUUCGGAAUUAUUGGGCGUAAAGGGCGCGUAGGCGGUGCGGUAAGUCACUUGUGAAAUCUCUGAGCUUAACUCAGAACGGCCAAGUGAUACUGCUGUGCUAGAGUGCAGAAGGGGCAAUCGGAAUUCUUGGUGUAGCGGUGAAAUGCGUAGAUAUCAAGAGGAACACCUGAGGUGAAGACGGGUUGCUGGGCUGACACUGACGCUGAGGCGCGAAAGCCAGGGGAGCAAACGGG
rnacentral:rRNA from 1 species